UCCGAAUUGGUGUAGUGGCUAACAUUUGACGCUCUCAUCUUCCUUCAUUCCCUGUCAGCCAGGGAUAAAGGGGUGUCUGUGCCGUCAAGCCCGGGGUUCGAUUCCCCGAUUCGGAG